GUACCCCAAACCGACACAGGUGGUCGGGUAGAGAAUACCAAGGCGCUUGAGAGAACUCGGGUGAAGGAACUAGGCAAAAUGGUACCGUAACUUCGGGAGAAGGUACGCUCUCGACGGUGAAGUCCCUCGCGGAUGGAGCUAUUGAGAGUCGCAGAUACCAGGUGGCUGCAACUGUUUAUUAAAAACACAGCACUGUGCAAAAUCGUAAGAUGACGUAUACGGU
rnacentral:rRNA from 1 species